rnacentral:rRNA from 1 species
AUUGAACGCUGGCGGCAUGCCUUACACAUGCAAGUCGAACGGCAGCGGGGACUUCGGUCCGCCGGCGAGUGGCGAACGGGUGAGUAAAGUAUCGGAACGUACCUUUCAGUGGGGGAUAACUGUCCGAAAGGACAGCUAAUACCGCAUAUUCUGUGAGCAGGAAAGCAGGGGAUCGCAAGACCUUGCGCUGAUUGAGCGGCCGAUAUCAGAUUAGCUAGUUGGUGAGGUAAAGGCUCACCAAGGCGACGAUCUGUAGCGGGUCUGAGAGGAUGAUCCGCCACACUGGAACUGAGACACGGUCCAGACUCCUACGGGAGGCAGCAGUGGGGAAUUUUGGACAAUGGGGGCAACCCUGAUCCAGCCAUGCCGCGUGAGUGAAGAAGGCCUCGG